AGGGAAUAUUGGUCAAUGGAGGCAACUCUGAACCAGCCAUGCCGCGUGAAGGAAGACGGCCUUAUGGGUUGUAAACUUCUUUUAUAUGGGAAGAAAAAGCAUUGCGAUGUACUAUGACGGUACCAUAUGAAUAAGCACCGGCUAACUCCGUGCCAGCAGCCGCGGUAAUACGGAGGGUGCAAGCGUUGUCCGGAAUUAUUGGGUUUAAAGGGUGCGUAGGCGGUUUUUUAAGUCGGAGUUGAAAUCCCACAGCUUAACUGUGGAACUGGCUCCGAUACUGGAAAACUUGAGUAUUGUUGAGGUAGGCGGAAUUUAAGAUGUAGCGGUGAAAUGCAUAGAUAUCUUAAAGA
rnacentral:rRNA from 1 species